UGGGGAAUUUUGGACAAUGGGCGAAAGCCUGAUCCAGCAAUGCCGCGUGUGUGAAGAAGGCCCUUCGGGUUGUAAAGCACUUUUGUCCGGAAAGAAAUCCUUGGCUCUAAUACAGUCGGGGGAUGACGGUACCGGAAGAAUAAGCACCGGCUAACUACGUGCCAGCAGCCGCGGUAAUACGUAGGGUGCAAGCGUUAAUCGGAAUUACUGGGCGUAAAGCGUGCGCAGGCGGUUUGCUAAGACCGAUGUGAAAUCCCCGGGCUCAACCUUGGGAACUGCAUUGGGUGACUGGCAGGCUAGAGUAUGGCAGAGGGGGGUUAGAAUUCCACGUGUAGCAGUGAAAUGCGUAGAGAUGUGGAGGAAUACCGAUGGCGAAGGCAG
rnacentral:rRNA from 1 species